rnacentral:rRNA from 1 species
GACGAACGCUGGCGGCGUGCCUAAUACAUGCAAGUCGAACGCAGUGGGGACGGGUGAGUAACACGUGGGUGACCUCCCAUCAAAGGGGAUAACACUUGGAAACAGGUGCUAAACCGAUACUGAUGGAUGGACCCGCGGUGCAUUAGCUAGUUGGUGAGGUAAAGGCCUACCAAGGCAAGGAUGCAUAGCCGACCUGAGAGGGGGAUCGGCCAUACUGGGACUGAAACACGGCCCAUACUCCUACGGCAGGCAGCAGUAGGGAAUCUUAGGCAAUGGACGAAAGUCUGACAGAGUAAGGCGGCGUGAGUGAAGAAGGUUUUCGGAUCGUAAAACCCUGUUGUUAGAGAAGCGGUAUCUAACCAGAAAGCCACGGCUAACUACGUGCCAGCAGCCGCGGUAAUUC